rnacentral:rRNA from 1 species
AUUGAACGCUGGCGGCAUGCCUUACACAUGCAAGUCGAACGGCAGCACGGGAGCUUGCUCCUGGUGGCGAGUGGCGAACGGGUGAGUAAUACAUCGGAACGUACCCUGAAGUGGGGGAUAACGUAGCGAAAGUUACGCUAAUACCGCAUAUUCUGUGAGCAGGAAAGAGGGGGAUCGCAAGACCUCUUGCUUUAGGAGCGGCCGAUGUCGGAUUAGCUAGUUGGUGAGGUAAAGGCUCACCAAGGCGACGAUCCGUAGCGGGUCUGAGAGGAUGAUCCGCCACACUGGGACUGAGACACGGCCCAGACUCCUACGGGAGGCAGCAGUGGGGAAUAUUGGACAAUGGGCGCAAGCCUGAUCCAGCAAUGCCGCGUGUGUGAAGAAGGCCUGCGGGUUGUAAAGCACUUUCAGUGGGGAAGAACGGAUACGGGCCAAUACCCCGCAUCACUGACGUUACCCACAGAAGAAGCACCGGCUAACUCCGUGCCAGCAG